rnacentral:misc_RNA from 1 species
GAUGAAGAACGUAGCGAAAUGCGAUAAGUAAUGUGAAUUGCAGAAUUCAGUGAAUCAUCGAAUCUUUGAACGCACAUUGCGCCCGCUAGUAUUCUGGCGGGCAUGCCUGUCCGAGCGUCAUUUCAACCCUCAAGCCCCCGGGCUUGGUGUUGGGGAUCGGCGAGCCUCCGCGCCCGCCGUCCCCUAAAUCUAGUGGCGGUCUCGCUGUAGCUUCCUCUGCGUAGUAGCACACCUCGCACUGGGAAACAGCGCGGCCACGCCGUUAAACCCCCAACUUCUGAACGUUUGACCUCGGAUCAGGUAAGAAUACCCGCUGAACUUAAGCAUAUCAAUAAGCGGAGGA